rnacentral:rRNA from 1 species
AGAGUUUGAUCAUGGCUCAGAAUCAACGCUGGCGGCGCGCUUAACACAUGCAAGUCGCACGAGAAAGGGAGCAAUCCUAAGUAAAGUGGCGCACGGGUGAGUAACACGUGGAUCAUCUACCUUUUAGUGGGGAAUACCUCUGGGAAACCGGAGACAAUACCGCAUAAGCCUGUAAAGGGAAAGCAGCAAUGCGCUGAAAGAGGAGUCCGCGGCCGAUUAGCUAGUUGGCGGGGUAAUGGCCCACCAAGGCGAAGAUCGGUAGCCGGCCUGAGAGGGCACACGGCCACACUGGCACUGAAACACGGGCCAGACUCCUACGGGAGGCAGCAGUGGGGAAUCUUGCACAAUGGGCGAAAGCCUGAUGCAGCGACGCCGCGUGAGCGAUGAAGCCCUUCGGGGUGUAAAGCUCUUUCGACGGGAACGAUAAUGACGGUACCCGGAGAAGAAGCUGCGGCUAACUACGUGCCAGCAGCCGCGGUAAUACGUAGGCAGCGAGCGUUGUUCGGAAUUACUGGGCGUAAAGAGUGUGUAGGCGGUGUUCCCAGUCUGUUGUGAAAUCUCCCGGCUUAACUGGGAGGGUGCAGCGGAAACUAGAAUGCUAGAGGGUGGGAGAGGUAAGCGGAAUUCCUGGUGUAGCGGUGAAAUGCGUAGAUAUCAGGAGGAACACCUGGUGUAGACAGCUUACUGGACCACUUCUGACGCUGAGACACGAAAGCGUGGGUAGCAAACAGGAUUAGAUACCCUAGUAGUCC